AUGUAUAGCGAGCAAUGACCGUGU
rnacentral:miRNA from 1 species